rnacentral:lncRNA from 1 species
AUGGUUUGUGCUGUUUUUGUUCGUUUUUCCUGUUUUUUGUUUAAACUGCUGAACAUUCGGCAGAACACACCACAAGAUCUUUUACCGGAUUUAAAUUAUUCAGACGUUUUACUGAACGUUGUUAUCGGAGGAGCGGCGGCGCUGAUCAAGCGCUUCAGGACGCGCAGACGGGGGAAGCGAGCGGGAGCGCUCGUCAGACUCAGGAAGCGCGGAUUUCGAACGCCGUUGCCUAGCAUCCAUCUCGCAAAUCUCCGCUUUCUACCCAACAAAACAGACGAACUGUUUCUGCUCUCUCGGACAAAUAAGGAUCUCUCUCACUCUGCUGCUCUGUGUUUCACGGAAACCUGGCUGAAUGACGCCAUACCGGACAGCGCGCUCCAUCUGCCGGGCUUUCAGCUGUUCAGAGCGGAUCGCGAAUCAGAAUCAACUGGGAAAUCGCGUGGUGGCGGGACAUGCUUUUACAUCAAUGAAUGGUGGUGUACAGAUGUAACUGUGUUAAAGAAGAUGUGCUGUCCUGAUCUAGAAAUGCAGUUUGUCAACUGCAAGCCGUUCUAUUCGCUGCGGGAGUUUCAUUCGUUCAUUCUGGUCAGUGUUUACAUCCCUCCGCAAGCGCAUGUGAGCUCAGCUUUACAGAAACUUGCUGAUCAGAUCACAGACACAGAACAACAACACCCGGACUCUGUUUUAAUCAUUCUUGGGGACUUUAACAAAGCCAAUCUCUCCCGUGAACUGCCAAAAUACAAACAGCAUGUUACAUGUCCCACCAGAGACAGUAAUAUAUUGGAUCACUGUUACACCACAAUAAAGGAUGCAUAUCACUCUGUUCCACGAGCAGCUUUGGGACGUUCUGAUCACUGUCUGGUUCAUCUUAUACCGUCCUACAAGCAAAAACUUAAAUCUGCUAAACCUGUAGUAAGGACUGUGAAGAGAUGGACCAGCGAAACAGAGCAGGAUUUACAAUCUUGUUUUGACCUCACUGAUUGGAGUGUUUUUGAAGCUGCUACCACCGAUCUGGACGAACUCACAGAGACCGUGACAUCCUAUAUUAGUUUCUGUGAGGAUAUAUGCAUUCCUACCAGGACUUAUUUAACAUUCAACAAUGAUAAGCCAUGGUUUACAGUAAAACUCAGACAUCUUCGUCAGGCCAAAGAGGAUGCCUACAGAAAUGGGGACAGGGUCUUGUACAAUCAGGCCAGGAACACACUGAACAAAGAGAUCAGAGCGGCUAAAAAGACCUACGCUAAAAAGUUGGAAGACCAGUUUACUUCCAACGACUCAGCUUCAGUGUGGAGAGGUCUAAGAGCCAUCACUAACUACAAGACACCAUCCCCUUGCACUGAGGCUAAUCAACGACUUGCUAACGACCUGAAUGAGUUUUAUUGCAGAUUUGAAACCCCCAUCACCCAUUCUGACCAUCUCCCUACACAACCAUUAACACAUCCUGCAAUCCCACCCUCCACACCAGGUCUUCAAGAAGAACAAAAGAAGAAAAGCACCAGGCCCAGAUGGUGUUACACCAGCCUGUCUGAAAAUCUGUGCUGA